GGGUUGUGAGGUUAAGCGACUAAGCGUACACGGUGGAUGCCCUGGCAGUCAGAGGCGAUGAAGGACGUGCUAAUCUGCGAUAAGCGUCGGUAAGGUGAUAUGAACCGUUAUAACCGGCGAUUUCCGAAUGGGGAAACCCAGUGUGUUUCGACACACUAUCAUUAACUGAAUCCAUAGGUUAAUGAGGCGAACCGGGGGAACUGAAACAUCUAAGUACCCCGAGGAAAAGAAAUCAACCGAGAUUCCCCCAGUAGCGGCGAGCGAACGGGGAGCAGCCCAGAGCCUGAAUCAGUGUGUGUGUUAGUGGAAGCGUCUGGAAAGGCGCGCGAUACAGGGUGACAGCCCCGUACACAAAAAUGCACAUGCUGUGAGCUCGAUGAGUAGGGCGGGACACGUGGUAUCCUGUCUGAAUAUGGGGGGACCAUCCUCCAAGGCUAAAUACUCCUGACUGACCGAUAGUGAACCAGUACCGUGAGGGAAAGGCGAAAAGAACCCCGGCGAGGGGAGUGAAAAAGAACCUGAAACCGUGUACGUACAAGCAGUGGGAGCACGCUUAGGCGUGUGACUGCGUACCUUUUGUAUAAUGGGUCAGCGACUUAUAUUCUGUAGCAAGGUUAACCGAAUAGGGGAGCCGAAGGGAAACCGAGUCUUAACUGGGCGUUAAGUUGCAGGGUAUAGACCCGAAACCCGGUGAUCUAGCCAUGGGCAGGUUGAAGGUUGGGUAACACUAACUGGAGGACCGAACCGACUAAUGUUGAAAAAUUAGCGGAUGACUUGUGGCUGGGGGUGAAAGGCCAAUCAAACCGGGAGAUAGCUGGUUCUCCCCGAAAGCUAUUUAGGUAGCGCCUCGUGAAUUCAUCUCCGGGGGUAGAGCACUGUUUCGGCAAGGGGGUCAUCCCGACUUACCAACCCGAUGCAAACUGCGAAUACCGGAGAAUGUUAUCACGGGAGACACACGGCGGGUGCUAACGUCCGUCGUGAAGAGGGAAACAACCCAGACCGCCAGCUAAGGUCCCAAAGUCAUGGUUAAGUGGGAAACGAUGUGGGAAGGCCCAGACAGCCAGGAUGUUGGCUUAGAAGCAGCCAUCAUUUAAAGAAAGCGUAAUAGCUCACUGGUCGAGUCGGCCUGCGCGGAAGAUGUAACGGGGCUAAACCAUGCACCGAAGCUGCGGCAGCGACACUAUGUGUUGUUGGGUAGGGGAGCGUUCUGUAAGCCUGUGAAGGUGUACUGUGAGGUAUGCUGGAGGUAUCAGAAGUGCGAAUGCUGACAUAAGUAACGAUAAAGCGGGUGAAAAGCCCGCUCGCCGGAAGACCAAGGGUUCCUGUCCAACGUUAAUCGGGGCAGGGUGAGUCGACCCCUAAGGCGAGGCCGAAAGGCGUAGUCGAUGGGAAACAGGUUAAUAUUCCUGUACUUGGUGUUACUGCGAAGGGGGGACGGAGAAGGCUAUGUUGGCCGGGCGACGGUUGUCCCGGUUUAAGCGUGUAGGCUGGUUUUCCAGGCAAAUCCGGAAAAUCAAGGCUGAGGCGUGAUGACGAGGCACUACGGUGCUGAAGCAACAAAUGCCCUGCUUCCAGGAAAAGCCUCUAAGCAUCAGGUAACAUCAAAUCGUACCCCAAACCGACACAGGUGGUCAGGUAGAGAAUACCAAGGCGCUUGAGAGAACUCGGGUGAAGGAACUAGGCAAAAUGGUGCCGUAACUUCGGGAGAAGGCACGCUGAUAUGUAGGUGAAGCGACUUGCUCGUGGAGCUGAAAUCAGUCGAAGAUACCAGCUGGCUGCAACUGUUUAUUAAAAACACAGCACUGUGCAAACACGAAAGUGGACGUAUACGGUGUGACGCCUGCCCGGUGCCGGAAGGUUAAUUGAUGGGGUUAGCGCAAGCGAAGCUCUUGAUCGAAGCCCCGGUAAACGGCGGCCGUAACUAUAACGGUCCUAAGGUAGCGAAAUUCCUUGUCGGGUAAGUUCCGACCUGCACGAAUGGCGUAAUGAUGGCCAGGCUGUCUCCACCCGAGACUCAGUGAAAUUGAACUCGCUGUGAAGAUGCAGUGUACCCGCGGCAAGACGGAAAGACCCCGUGAACCUUUACUAUAGCUUGACACUGAACAUUGAGCCUUGAUGUGUAGGAUAGGUGGGAGGCUUUGAAGUGUGGACGCCAGUCUGCAUGGAGCCGACCUUGAAAUACCACCCUUUAAUGUUUGAUGUUCUAACGUUGACCCGUAAUCCGGGUUGCGGACAGUGUCUGGUGGGUAGUUUGACUGGGGCGGUCUCCUCCUAAAGAGUAACGGAGGAGCACGAAGGUUGGCUAAUCCUGGUCGGACAUCAGGAGGUUAGUGCAAUGGCAUAAGCCAGCUUGACUGCGAGCGUGACGGCGCGAGCAGGUGCGAAAGCAGGUCAUAGUGAUCCGGUGGUUCUGAAUGGAAGGGCCAUCGCUCAACGGAUAAAAGGUACUCCGGGGAUAACAGGCUGAUACCGCCCAAGAGUUCAUAUCGACGGCGGUGUUUGGCACCUCGAUGUCGGCUCAUCACAUCCUGGGGCUGAAGUAGGUCCCAAGGGUAUGGCUGUUCGCCAUUUAAAGUGGUACGCGAGCUGGGUUUAGAACGUCGUGAGACAGUUCGGUCCCUAUCUGCCGUGGGCGCUGGAGAACUGAGGGGGGCUGCUCCUAGUACGAGAGGACCGGAGUGGACGCAUCACUGGUGUUCGGGUUGUCAUGCCAAUGGCACUGCCCGGUAGCUAAAUGCGGAAGAGAUAAGUGCUGAAAGCAUCUAAGCACGAAACUUGCCCCGAGAUGAGUUCUCCCUGACCCUUUAAGGGUCCUGAAGGAACGUUGAAGACGACGACGUUGAUAGGCCGGGUGUGUAAGCGCAGCGAUGCGUUGAGCUAACCGGUACUAAUGAACCGUGAGGCUUAACCUUACAACGCCGAAGCUGUU
rnacentral:rRNA from 1 species